rnacentral:lncRNA from 1 species
UCAAGAAUGAAGCAGCGAACCCUCGCGUAUCUUCCCGGCAUCUUUACCAGAAGUAGAUUCCAUCUCAAGAAACCGAUUUGCCUUGCACUUGUUUAUGGGAUGGAGAUGGCUUCUUUCCUUAAACCUCAGGAACCAACUUCCACUAGCUUCGAACUUUUCUUCUGGAGCUUCCUCACCUCUCUCAGCCUUCAUAGAAUUAAAGAGAGUUAGGGUCUUGAACUGGAUUAGGCUUUGGUUGAAGGGAAUAUUGUGGCUGGUUAGAUUUAUCCAGACCACUAAAACUUUCUUUAUAUCAACAAUAAGGCUGUUUCACUUUCUUAUCAUUUGUGGGUUCACUGGCAUAGAACUUUAAAUUGAUUUCAAUAAUGCUUCCUUUGCAUUCACAGCUUGGCUAACUGUAGAUGCAAGAGGCCUAGCUUUCAGCCUAUCUUGCCUUUCAGCAUGCCUUAAGUUUAAUCACUUCUAGCUUUUGAUUUAAAGUGAAACACAUUUGACUCUUCACUUGAACACUCAGAGACCACUGUAGUGUUAUUAAUUGGCCUAACUUGAAUAUUGCUGGGUUUCAGGAAACAGGAGGCCUGAUUAUGGGGAGCAGGUAAGAGGGUUGUAGGGAGACGACCUGUUGGUGGAGCAGUCAGAACACAUGAUGCUUAUUGAUUCAGUUUGCUGUUUUAUAUAGAUAUGUGGUUUUUGGUGUCCCAAAACAAUUACAAUAGUAACAUCAAAGAUCACUGAUCACAGAUCAUCUUAACAGAUGUAAUAAUAAUGAAAAGAUUUGAAAUAUUGUGAGAAUUACCAAAAUAUGACACAGAGACAUGAAGCGAGCUUUUGGGAAAAUUGUGUCAAUGGACUUGCUCAAUGAAG